AGAAACUUAAGUUAUAUCAAACUAGGAGCCUUCAAAGCCCCCAAAAAAGAAACACACUUUAGUUUCUG
rnacentral:tRNA from 2 species